CUUUUAAAAACAAAUGCCCGUCGGGUAUGUAUAAUGGAAUCAUGGAAUCUGAAAAAUACAUCAUUUUGAUUUUAUUGCAAAAUUUAAAGACCGGUUUGUAAAUUACUGCACAAAGAUUACAUAGUUCGGCAAUUUGAAUUUUUUGCUCGCCUUCUGAAGUGAACGGACGGGUUUUUUUUAUUGCGUAAAUUUUGUUUUAAUCUAAAAAGUUGUUAUUAAAAAAAAAAAGUUUUAAAUAAUAGUUUAACAAUAAAACUACAGAAAAAAUACAAACUGAUACAUUUUAGUAACUAUGUAAUAAGAUUUUAUCAAAAUAAUUGAAUUGAGAUUUUAUCAAUCAUAUAAGUUAAUUAUGGCAGUUAUUUGAGAUGAGAUUAAAAAAAUAUUAAAGGAGAUGUUUAGUGAUUACAAAAACAAUUUGAAGAAAUCUUAAAGCAACAAGAAAUAAACAUUCUAGCCAUUGUAAGUUCAAGCACAAAAAUAAUUCAUGACCGCUUAGAUAAAGUUGAAAAAAAUAUAAUCGACAAUGUCAAACGAGUUAAGUCAAUAAUAAAAGAUGUUGAAGAAAUAAAUUAAGCUUAAUUUUUCAUGAACAGCUUGUUGAUGCUAAAAUAAAAACUGCAAUUAGUUAUCAGGAAAUGAUAAAUCCAUCUGGUAGUGAAACAACUAAACUAAAUUCGGAAUUCCUUAAUAUAAAAAACAAGUUAAGGGAAAUGGAAGAUCGUUCGAGACAAAAUAACUUAAGAAUAGACGGUGUAAAAGAGAAUGAAAACGAAAGCUGGGAAGAGACCAAAUCAAAGGUAAAAAAAUUAUUAGAAGAUUAUCUAGAUGUAAAGAGUGUUAAAAUAGAACGAGCUCACAGAACUGGCAAAAAAGCCAAGAACAAUCGUACUAAAACUCUUGGAUUUCAAAGAUAAAACAGAAAUUCUUAAAAAAUCUUUUUAUCUGAAAGUAAAAAAUAUUUUCACCAAUGAAGACUUUUGUCCGGAGACCAAACAAAUAAGAAGAGCUUUAAAAGAAAAGAUGAAAGUAGAACGAACAUCUGGGAAAUACGCUGUUAUAUCGCACGAUAGGUUGAUCAUACGUGAUUGGGCCUCCAAUCGAUAAAAGAAUUAGAAACGUGGCUUAAAAACAAUGAAGAAAACGCACGAUUUGAAUUAGCCAUUUAUGCAUCGGUUCAUCAAUCGUGUCAUAAACAUGCUGGUGGUGGGGUCUCUUUCUUACUGCAACAUUCCAUGGGGAAGUACGAAUUACGGAAAACUCAAAAAACUUUAUAGUAAACAAAAGCAUGCUUGUAGGAUUGUAUUUGGGGCAAACAGAUUUAUUAUAACAGUUUAUUGCGAACCGCUAUUAAAUUGUCUCAAGGCCUUAAACAUUUAUAAGCUAAACAUUUACCAAACAUUACUUUUGAUGUUUAAAAUGAAACAUGAAAUAUCUCCACUUAUAUUUCAAUCUUGUUUUAGCGAAAUAUCUCAUAAGUAUUCAACAAAGUUUUCAGAGGAUAACGUUAUUGUUCCGAGAAUUAAUCUAAAAAUCAGUUCUUAUCGAAUUCAAUAUCGAGGACCUUUUUCAUAAUUUCCAACUGUUAUUACAUUUGACUUGAAAAUUUUGAUAGGGAUACAAAACUGU